UACGUAGGGUGCAAGCGUUAAUCGGAAUUACUGGGCGUAAAGCGUGCGCAGGCGGUAAUGUAAGACAGUUGUGAAAUCCCCGGGCUCAACCUGGGAACUGCAUCUGUGACUGCAUUGCUGGAGUACGGUAGAGGGGGAUGGAAUUCCGCGUGUAGCAGUGAAAUGCGUAGAUAUGCGGAGGAACACCGAUGGCGAAGGCAAUCCCCUGGACCUGUACUGACGCUCAUGCACGAAAGCGUGGGGAGCAA
rnacentral:rRNA from 1 species